UCAUGUAGAUGCUACAGAUAUUUCUUGAUAUAUCUAUUUGCUAACGAUCCACUUUGCUCCAGCAUUCUCCAUCAAAACCCAAAGUCGGACACAACCAGGGACUUGAGUCUGGAAGGAGGAUUUGUCGAGCUGCCGAUUACCAAAAUGAUUUGGAUGACUUUGCCUCGGAAGUGCGUGUUGUGCGGGAUAAAGUUCGUGCUUGGGAACAAAGAUGUAAAGAAUCUGAAAAAUGGGAUGAGCGACGAGAGAGAGUGUUAAUUUGUGCCACUGUUCUUUUCAUUGCGUUUUGUGUAUUUUCUUAAGGAGAAAUAUCUGCUGAGAACCCAAGUUAUGGUGAAAACUAUGCUGGAAUUACUUUUGAAAGUGUUAUCAAAUAUUGUA